GGCAUGGCUCAGUAGUAGAGUGCCUGCCUAGCAAGUAUGAUGCUCUGAGUUUGAACCUCAGUACC
rnacentral:tRNA from 1 species